GGGUUGUGAGGUUAAGCGACUAAGCGUACACGGUGGAUGCCCUGGCAGUCAGAGGCGAUGAAGGACGUGCUAAUCUGCGAUAAGCGCCGGUAAGGUGAUAUGAACCGUUAUAACCGGCGAUUUCCGAAUGGGGAAACCCAGUGUGACUCGUCACACUAUCAUUAACUGAAUCCAUAGGUUAAUGAGGCGAACCGGGGGAACUGAAACAUCUAAGUACCCCGAGGAAAAGAAAUCAACCGAGAUUCCCCCAGUAGCGGCGAGCGAACGGGGAGGAGCCCAGAGCCUGAAUCAGCAUGUGUGUUAGUGGAAGCGUCUGGAAAGGCGCGCGAUACAGGGUGACAGCCCCGUACACAAAAGCGCAUGUGCUGUGAGCUCGAUGAGUAGGGCGGGACACGUGGUAUCCUGUCUGAAUAUGGGGGGACCAUCCUCCAAGGCUAAAUACUCCUGACUGACCGAUAGUGAACCAGUACCGUGAGGGAAAGGCGAAAAGAACCCCGGCGAGGGGAGUGAAAAAGAACCUGAAACCGUGUACGUACAAGCAGUGGGAGCACAGGUUUACCUGUGUGACUGCGUACCUUUUGUAUAAUGGGUCAGCGACUUAUAUUCUGUAGCAAGGUUAACCGAAUAGGGGAGCCGGAGGGAAACCGAGUCUUAACCGGGCGUUAAGUUGCAGGGUAUAGACCCGAAACCCGGUGAUCUAGCCAUGGGCAGGUUGAAGGUUGGGUAACACUAACUGGAGGACCGAACCGACUAAUGUUGAAAAAUUAGCGGAUGACCUGUGGCUGGGGGUGAAAGGCCAAUCAAACCGGGAGAUAGCUGGUUCUCCCCGAAAGCUAUUUAGGUAGCGCCUCGUGAAUUCAUCUCCGGGGGUAGAGCACUGUUUCGGCUAGGGGGCCAUCCCGGCUUACCAACCCGAUGCAAACUGCGAAUACCGGAGAAUGUUAUCACGGGAGACACACGGCGGGUGCUAACGUCCGUCGUGAAGAGGGAAACAACCCAGACCGCCAGCUAAGGUCCCAAAGUCAUGGUUAAGUGGGAAACGAUGUGGGAAGGCCCAGACAGCCAGGAUGUUGGCUUAGAAGCAGCCAUCAUUUAAAGAAAGCGUAAUAGCUCACUGGUCGAGUCGGCCUGCGCGGAAGAUGUAACGGGGCUAAACCAUGCACCGAAGCUGCGGCAGCGAACGUAUCACUUAAAGCGAUUCAGCGGGUUACGAUUGACGGAGCGAAGCGACGUCAAAGCGUAUACAAAGUCGAGUCGGUUUAAGGAUACGUUCGUUGGGUAGGGGAGCGUUCUGUAAGCCUGCGAAGGUGGCCUGUGAGGGUUGCUGGAGGUAUCAGAAGUGCGAAUGCUGACAUAAGUAACGAUAAAGCGGGUGAAAAGCCCGCUCGCCGGAAGACCAAGGGUUCCUGUCCAACGUUAAUCGGGGCAGGGUGAGUCGACCCCUAAGGCGAGGCCGAAAGGCGUAGUCGAUGGGAAACGGGUUAAUAUUCCCGUACUUGGUGUUACUGCGAAGGGGGGACGGAGAAGGCUAUGUUGGCCGGGCGACGGUUGUCCCGGUUUAAGCGUGUAGGUGUGUGUUCCAGGUAAAUCCGGUUCACUUUAACACUGAGGCGUGAUGACGAGGCACUACGGUGCUGAAGCAACAAAUGCCCUGCUUCCAGGAAAAGCCUCUAAGCAUCAGGUAACAUCAAAUCGUACCCCAAACCGACACAGGUGGUCAGGUAGAGAAUACCAAGGCGCUUGAGAGAACUCGGGUGAAGGAACUAGGCAAAAUGGUGCCGUAACUUCGGGAGAAGGCACGCUGACACGUAGGUGAAGUGAUUUACUCACGGAGCUGAAGUCAGUCGAAGAUACCAGCUGGCUGCAACUGUUUAUUAAAAACACAGCACUGUGCAAACACGAAAGUGGACGUAUACGGUGUGACGCCUGCCCGGUGCCGGAAGGUUAAUUGAUGGGGUCAGCGCAAGCGAAGCUCCUGAUCGAAGCCCCGGUAAACGGCGGCCGUAACUAUAACGGUCCUAAGGUAGCGAAAUUCCUUGUCGGGUAAGUUCCGACCUGCACGAAUGGCGUAAUGAUGGCCAGGCUGUCUCCACCCGAGACUCAGUGAAAUUGAACUCGCUGUGAAGAUGCAGUGUACCCGCGGCAAGACGGAAAGACCCCGUGAACCUUUACUAUAGCUUGACACUGAACAUUGAGCCUUGAUGUGUAGGAUAGGUGGGAGGCUUUGAAGUGUGGACGCCAGUCUGCAUGGAGCCGACCUUGAAAUACCACCCUUUAAUGUUUGAUGUUCUAACGUGGACCCGUGAUCCGGGUUGCGGACAGUGUCUGGUGGGUAGUUUGACUGGGGCGGUCUCCUCCUAAAGAGUAACGGAGGAGCACGAAGGUUGGCUAAUCCUGGUCGGACAUCAGGAGGUUAGUGCAAUGGCAUAAGCCAGCUUGACUGCGAGCGUGACGGCGCGAGCAGGUGCGAAAGCAGGUCAUAGUGAUCCGGUGGUUCUGAAUGGAAGGGCCAUCGCUCAACGGAUAAAAGGUACUCCGGGGAUAACAGGCUGAUACCGCCCAAGAGUUCAUAUCGACGGCGGUGUUUGGCACCUCGAUGUCGGCUCAUCACAUCCUGGGGCUGAAGUAGGUCCCAAGGGUAUGGCUGUUCGCCAUUUAAAGUGGUACGCGAGCUGGGUUUAGAACGUCGUGAGACAGUUCGGUCCCUAUCUGCCGUGGGCGCUGGAGAACUGAGGGGGGCUGCUCCUAGUACGAGAGGACCGGAGUGGACGCAUCACUGGUGUUCGGGUUGUCAUGCCAAUGGCACUGCCCGGUAGCUAAAUGCGGAAGAGAUAAGUGCUGAAAGCAUCUAAGCACGAAACUUGCCCCGAGAUGAGUUCUCCCUGAGACUUUAGGUCUCCUGAAGGAACGUUGAAGACGACGACGUUGAUAGGCCGGGUGUGUAAGCGCAGCGAUGCGUUGAGCUAACCGGUACUAAUGAACCGUGAGGCUUAACCUUACAACGCCGAAG
rnacentral:rRNA from 2 species